GAUUAGAGAUUAUUGUUGAUGUA
rnacentral:siRNA from 1 species